GACGAACCGUGCGAACGUUGUUCGGAAUUACUGGGCUUAAAGAGUGCGUAGGCGCCCUGCAAGUAAGGUGUGAAAUCCCACAGCUCAACUGUGGAACUGCGCUUUAAACUGCAGGGCUAGAGGGAUAUAGAGGUGAGCGGAACUGAUGGUGGAGCGGUGAAAUGCGUUGAUAUCAUCAGGAACACCGGCGGCGAAGGCGGCUCACUGGGUAUCUUCUGACGCUGAGGUACGAAAGCUAGGGGAGCGAACGG
rnacentral:rRNA from 1 species